GCUUGCCGGCAUUCAUUACAGGUUAGUUUAAAAUUUUCUUUUAUCCAUGUUGAAUUGAACCAGACAUAUAAUGAUUUUUUUGCUCUAUAAGCACGAUUCAUGGACAGCACUGUUAUCAAUGAUAUCGUGCUAUCCUGCUUUAGUCCUUGAAAAAAUUAAUAGGUCAUAAAUUGAAAACAUUAAUAGGUCAUAAAUCACUACAAAAGUGUGCAAAACUAUGCACGCUAUUUGCUCAGAAAAUCUAUGCUGAAUAUCUGGUGAUGGUGCAGUUGGCAAUGAUAGGUAAUUUUGUAGACAUAUUUUGUGCUUUCUUAUGUACAUAGCUACUGCUAUUGUAUAUUGGCAUUUGAAAAAUAAAUGAGAAUUAUAAAGAAACAUAAUUAUUGAUUCUUUUUAUUUGCUCUUUUUUUGGCUAAUAUUAUAGAUAAAUAAAGGUUACUGAUGAGGAAAACUUAAAUGCGCUGAUGACAGAUUCAGUCUCCUUUUAGAUGCUAGUAAUAACCUUGAUUGGCUGUUGAAUAUUUUUUGCUUGAAUUAAUCCAGAUUCCUUUCUUUAAUUUUUGCUCAUUAUUGUCUUCCAUUUUCCUGUGUGCUCUCCUUUCUCUGUAUGGUUAACUGUGUACUGUGUAGGGACAUACUAAGGCAAUCCACU
rnacentral:misc_RNA from 1 species